UUUAUCUUUCAGUUUGGGUAAUUUCUACUGAACAAUUUUUAAGUUCACCGAUUUUUUUCUUGGUUAUAUUGAAUCCACUGAUGAGUUCCUUGAAGGAACUUGUCAUCUCUACAGGCAUGUUUUUAAUUUCUAUAAUAGAAUUUUUGUUUGAUUCUUUCUUAUAGAUUCUUUUUAUUUGAUGAAACUAACUAUCUGAUUAUCUUUUCCACUAAGCCCUUUACCGUAUUAAUCUUAACUGUUUUAACUCUCUUUCUGAUAGUUCCAACUUCUGUAUCUGUUGGUUUUUUUUAUCUUAGGAUAGUGUGUUUUAUUUUUUCUUGCCUCUUUUUUGUAUGCCUUGUAAUUUUUUGUUGUUGUUGAAAGCCCAAAAUCUUGUGUACUAUAAUAGAGACUGAGGCAAAAAUGAAAUGCGCAUAUUUUUUUCUUUUGGGAGAUCUUUAUCAUAGAGAGUUGAGUCAGUCUAAUCAGGAGUUGAGCUGUGUUUAGGUUUUUUUGUUGCUGUGGUUACCCACAGGCUUCCAGUUUUUCUAGUAUCACCUUGUGUUUAGUGUGUAGACUGGUUUGCUAACAGGGAUUUUCUGUGUUUGCACCACCCUCACCUUUAGGCCGUCCCUUUAUUCCUGUGCCUCAGAGAGGGUCUCUCUCCAUGUUCUUAUCCUUCUUCUAGCAGUAGAUCGUUAUUAUUUGUUACUCAACAUUUGAUAUUCUGAUGAUGGUGAGAGAUUUGGUGUUGUGAUUCAGCUUUAAUCGUAGGUAGGCACUGUGUCUCUGAGGCUUGAGGGGUCCCUGUGUCAGCUCUUGCUCAUUUGUGCUCCUACUGCAAUACUGCCUGUGGUCUACAACAUCCAAGGACAACGGACGUGGCAGCAAAUGUCUUCUAUCUUCUUCACUCCUCACGGUUGGCAUCAGGCUAGUCGCUCCACCCACUUCCACAGGCUUUGGUGCAGUAUGUCAGGAAGUUCUCUGGGGAUGGCCACAGCUAUCUCCUCUGAGGGCUUUCAACACGCUUUUCUGGUAGAUAUCCUCUCUUACCUCUGAUUGAUGCAGUGACGCCACACUGUCCUGGGAUGGCCUUAAGCUCUGCUAAAUGAGGGAUGGAUAUUUCUUGGGGGAAUUGAACUGCUCUUGUCAUUCUGCCCGUGGGCCCGUUGAGUUGCUUAUUCCUCUCUGCUGGUGGCGGGGUAUGGAAGGGAAGCGUGUGAGCAACGCUGAAAGUUAUCCCAUUCCAGGUACGCAGUGAUACUGCAGAGAAGUCCCGGUUGUACAGUGCGUGAUUCAUUGAUUACGCUAUAAUAUUCCAAACGGCAACUUUAAGAAGACCAGAAAACGUACUACCGUUCACAUUUGCCUGCCCAUUUGGGGUAAGCCUUGUAUUUGCAGUUAUUGUCACAAACUUGGAUAAAGUCAUUGGAAGCCGGUAUUCAGAGGUGGCAUGAUGAUGCAAUGUCAUGAGCAAGGCGCCUCAACUCAGAACAAGGCUCUGGGAAGCAGGGAGGCGCCUAACUCCUCGGCCCUCUCUUUUCCCCCUCGGGCUUUUGUCUCGCGGGAACUAGAAGGCGGGAACAACCAAGAGUGAGGGGUCCUCCAAGAUUCCUAGAGAGAAUCCCCGGGCGUGUACGGCCGGCCAGUGGGCGCGAUAUCGUUGAUCCGGCGCUACCUUUGUACUUCCGCCGCCGCCAUUUUUAACGCGCGAGGCUGCGGUGUGUGAGGAGCGCUGUGUGGUGCCGACAACCUCCGUGUGCUGAGAAGCUGCUGAGGCCGCCGGGAGCCCACGCCCUUGAGACUUUGACCUUUACCAAAGACGGGAAUAAAAGAGGUCAAAUGAUGGCAGCUGCAUCCGUAGGAACCGAGUCCCAGGAACUUGUCGUUUCAGGAAUCGGUGACUUUUGAGGACGUGGCUCUGUACUUCACCGAGGAGGAAUGGGACAGCCUGAUGCCUACUCAGAGGGCCUUGUACAGCGAUGCCAUCCUGGAGAACUCUGAGGCUGUGGCAGUCCUGGGCUACCUCUCACAACUCAGAAGAGUUACUCAAUUGGCUAAAAUAAUAUCCCGUACAAUAAAAUUAAAAAUUCUGGGAAGUGAUCAAUGCCGCGAAGACAGAACAAAGGCUUGAUUCUUGACCUUUAAAUACCAGUUUUCCAAGUAAGGAGUGGAUUUAAGAGCCACCUUAACCACUGUCAAAUGCGCAUUACCUUUUCUGUAGACUAUUCAAUUUGUGUUGAUUGAAUGUUUUUUGGUUCAUUAAAAUUCCUCAUUUUGAUG